GGAUCUUCAGAAGAAUAGCCGGCAUAUAAUAUCAGUUCACAUGUGGAGCCAAUUCAGAUCAUAGGCGGUAGAAGCAGUCUGAAGUAAAUCAGGAUGUUGAUUAAAUCUGGGAAUUUACUUGGUGCCCCAACUGUUUACAUGCGGAACUUGCCUAACCAGUGACGGAACUAUCAAUCUCCUCGAAAGUAAAAGAUUGAGUUGGGGGAAAGGUGUGGUUGACUGAGGCAGUCUUCUUCAACUGCAAUAGCCACACGCGAAUUUUGCAGGUAUGACUGCAAUGGAGAAGGACCCAGAAAUUAAUGGGUGUGCCUACAACACUGCAGAACGCUCAUUUAUGCGAGAGUCGGCUCCCCAAGGAGGGUGACGAAUUGACUUGCAACCAGUCCGCGGAAGAUCUGAAGCCAUGCUAAGGAAGAAGCAGCAACACUGCAUAGGCUAGAAGAAACGUAGCCUGUCAGCCUUGUGAUGUCACUCAGAACUUGCUGCGAUGAGUACAUCUCACAUUCAUAUAGUGUGUUAAUGAUGGAAUCAGACUGCAUCAUCUUCUGAAGAAAUCGACAUUUGUCAUGUUGUUAACUGAAGAAAUCGACACCCAGCGGUUAGCACCAAACCGACCGGGCUCAUCGUCGACCAUCCUGUCUUCAUCGAACGGCAGCUUACCGCUUCGACCGGAGUUACUACGACACACCGCCACCCUUCAUCGCCCAUCCAAUCGCUCUGAAGACUGGACGUGUCACUAUCUGAAUUUACCUUUUACGGUCUCCUUGUUCACCUGCUUUACUUUGGCGUUAAGUUAAGAUUACCUUUCACUAGUUGUAAUGUGUAUGAAACCCCGGAUCUAUCUCAGAGCCCUGGAUCUCAUCUUCCUACUCCCUCCAUUCCACAAUGUAGUGCUUCCUCUAUUCACGUGCUUCAACUUUGACCGUAAAUUUAACUAUCAAAACCGAUUGCGGCGGGGGCAAAAGUUAUAUCAGUGACUUCGUAUUCGAAAGAGGUUUUUAAUUAUGUAACUUUUUCUCCCGCCG